AUUGAACGCUGGCGGCAGGCCUAACACAUGCAAGUCGAGCGAGCGGCGGACGGGUGAGUAAUGUCUGGGAAACUGCCUGAUGGAGGGGGAUAACUACUGGAAACGGUAGCUAAUACAGCAUACCAUCAGAUGUGCCCAGGUGGGAUUGGCUAGUAGGUGGGGUAAUGGCUCACCUAGGCGACGUUCCCUAUCUGGUCGAAGAGGAUGACCAGCCACACGGGAACUGAGACACGGUCCAUACUCCUACGGGAGGAAGCAGUGGGGAAUAUUGCACAAUGGGCGCAAGCCUGAUGCAGCCAUGCAGCGUGUAUGAAGAAGGCCUUCGGGUUGUAAAGUACUUUCAGCGAGGAGGCGUUACUCGCAGAAGAAGCACCGGCUAACUCCGUGCCAGCAGCCGCGGUAAUAC
rnacentral:rRNA from 1 species